UACGUAGGGGGCAAGCGUUAUCCGGAUUUACUGGGUGUAAAGGGAGCGUAGGCGGCCUGCCAAGUCUGAUGUGAAAUACCGGGGCUCAACCCCGGGGCUGCAUUGGAAACUGUUAAGCUGGAGUGCGGGAGGGGCAGGCGGAAUUCCUGGUGUAGCGGUGAAAUGCGUAGAUAUCAGGAGGAACACCGGCGGCGAAGGCGGCCUGCUGGACCGUGACUGACGUUGAGGCUCGAAAGCGUGGGGAGCAAACAGG
rnacentral:rRNA from 1 species